rnacentral:rRNA from 1 species
AAUGAACGCUGGCGGCGUGCCUAAUACAUGCAAGUCGAGCGAAGCGGGGACGGGUGAGUAACACGUGGAUAACAUCCUAUAAGACUGGGAUAACUUCGGGAAACCGGAGGUAAACCGGAACCUUAUAGCUGGAUCCGGGCUGCAUUAGCUAGUUGGUAGGGUAACGGCGUACCAAGGCAACGAUUCAUAGCCGACCUGGGAGGGUGAUCGGCCACACUGGAACUGCGAAACGGUCCAGACUCCUACGGGAGGCAGCAGUAGGGAAUCUUCCGCAAUGGGCGAAAGCCUGACGGAGCAACGCCGCGUGAGUGAUGAAGGUCUUCGGAUCGUAAAACUCUGUUAUUAGGGAAGCGGUACCUAAUCAGAAAGCCACGGCUAACUCCGUGCCAGCAGCCGCGGUAAUAC